rnacentral:rRNA from 1 species
UACGUAGGGUGCAAGCGUUGUCCGGAAUUAUUGGGCGUAAAGAGCUCGUAGGCGGUCUGUCGCGUCUGCUGUGAAAACCCGAGGCUCAACCUCGGGCCUGCAGUGGGUACGGGCAGACUAGAGUGCGGUAGGGGAGAUUGGAAUUCCUGGUGUAGCGGUGGAAUGCGCGGAUAUCAGGAGGAACACCGAUGGCGAAGGCAGAUCUCUGGGCCGUAACUGACGCUGAGGAGCGAAAGCGUGGGGAGCGAACAGG